CAAGUGCCUGCCUGUUUCUGAAUGUGCCUGUUCCUGGCAGUAGCUGACUGUUUAGCUGUAGUCCAAGUUAAUCUUCUCAUCAGUGUUGCAUGAUUCCAAUAUGGGCCUCAGCUAGCUUGAGAAGAGUACACAUUAGAGCCAAGAGGCCAUCUUGGGUGGCAGUUCAGGAAGCAUCUGCCCUGCCCCCGUCUUGAGAUCUCUUGACUCUAUUGCUGCCUUUUUCCAGCUGCCAUCUUAUCCUCAUGACCCAAUCCACUCAAUGAUUUCCUUUACACAAUCCUCGCCUCCAGGUCAAGUUCAAGCUCAUGCCAGGUUUACAGCCUAUAACAACCACAAUGAUGGAAUGGAGGCAGAAGCUUUCCUAUAAUCAAUGAAGGCAGUAUAAACAUUAUGGCACUUUUAGAUGACUUGUCUAACAAUCACAAAAUCAACAAUAAACUCCUUAUACCUCAUGGAACUUCUGUCAUUCAAUUUUUGUUCGUUCAUUGUUUUCUCAUUAGAUGUUUACAGAAUUUAUUUGAGUCAUACAAGCUGUGAAUUGUUAAAAUGAAAUACAGAAACAUGUAAUUGGCCCAUAAUGCAA